UUUGGGACCAUGUUGCUUCUGCUUGAUAGUGGCGGGGCGGGGGUUGGGGGUGGUGGUUAGAGCUCAAGACCAUGGCUGUGGUUUUUGCUUCUGUCUUUCGAGGCCUGGUGGGAGCUUUUCCUAGUCAGGCCCUUAAGUGAUGCCUGUAACUCAGAGUUCCACUGGAUACUUUCUGUGUGGCUCUGGCUGUCCUGGGACUCGAUCUAUAGACCAGGCUGGCCUCCACCUGGGAGAUCUGCCUGUCUCUGACAUCUGAAUGCUGGGGUUCGAGGUGAGUGCCAGCACCACCCAACCCCGUUUGAUAUUCUCUACCCUUGUUCUACCAAGAUUCUGCGGAAUGCCUUCUGCUCCUCACAGAGGCCAGUUAGAAUCUCAGCUUGGAAACACCCGUGCAAUUUCUGUGAAAUUAUGGCACGGUAAUCUCUUCAUCUGAGAGUCAUGGAGUUAACAAAUUUCAUUCCUCUAG
rnacentral:lncRNA from 1 species